rnacentral:rRNA from 1 species
AUUGAACGCUGGCGGCAUGCCUUACACAUGCAAGUCGAACGGUAACGCGGGGCAACCUGGCGACGAGUGGCGAACGGGUGAGUAAUGCAUCGGAACGUGCCCAGUAGUGGGGGAUAGCCCGGCGAAAGCCGGAUUAAUACCGCAUACGACCUACGGGUGAAAGGGGGGGAUCGCAAGACCUCUCGCUAUUGGAGCGGCCGAUGUCAGAUUAGGUAGUUGGUGGGGUAAAGGCCUACCAAGCCGACGAUCUGUAGCUGGUCUGAGAGGACGACCAGCCACACUGGGACUGAGACACGGACCAGACUCCUACGGGAGGCAGCAGUGGGGAAUUUUGGACAAUGGGCGCAAGCCUGUUCCAGCCAUACCGCGUGCGGGAAGAAGGCCUUCGGGUUGUAAACCGCUUUUGUCAGGGAAGAAAUCUUCUGGGCUAAUACCUCGGGAGGAUGACGGUACCUGAAGAAUAAGCACCGGCUAACUACGUGCCAGCCGCCGCUGUAACAC